rnacentral:misc_RNA from 1 species
GGAAUAAAAGUCGUAACAAGGUUUCCGUAGGUGAACCUGCGGAAGGAUCAUUAAUGAGUUGUCAUGGGGUUCGAUGCUGGCAGCCAAUUUUUGGAUGCAUGUGCUUGCCCUAACAAUCAUCUUCCAAACACCUGUGCACAUUUUUGAGGGAGUCUUGAGUUGGUUGCCGCUCUUGGGUGAUUUUCUCACAUUCCCUUUAAUCAUUAUACGCUAUUAACAAUGUUGAACGUGCUCUGUGCCGCAAGGCUAUUAAUAUAAUACAACUUUUAACAACGGAUCUCUUGGCUCUC